rnacentral:sRNA from 1 species
GGAGGCGCCAUGACGAAGUCAUACUAUGAAUUGCGCCGACCGACGCGCCGCCGAGCGGCAGCGAGGGGGCAUUACAUU